AGCAGCCGCGGUAAUUCCAGCUCCAAUAGCGUAUAUUAAAGUUGUUGCAGUUAAAAAGCUCGUAGUUGAAUUUCGGGGUCAGUAGGUCGGUCGUGCCACUGGUAUGAACUGGUUUUACUGAUUCCUCCCUCUUGAAGAACUGUAAUGCCAUUAAUUUGGUGUUGCAGGGAAUCAGGACUGUUACUUUAGAAAAAAUUAGAGUGUUUAAAGCAAGCUAACGCCUGAAUACAUUAGCAUGGAAUAAUGAAAUAGGACGUUCGAUCCUAUUUUGUUGGUUUCUAGGAUUGACGUAAUGAUUAAUAGGGAUAGUUGGGGGCAUUAGUAUUCAAUUGCCAGAGGUGAAAUUCUUGGAUUUAUUGAAGACUAACUACUGACGAAAGCUAAUUUGACCAAGGAUGUUUUCAUUAAUCAAGAACGAAGUUAGGGAUCGAAGACGAUCGGAUACCGU
rnacentral:rRNA from 1 species